rnacentral:rRNA from 1 species
CACGAACCCGACAAACGUUAUUCGGAAUUAUUGGGCUUAAAGGGUGCGUAGGCGGUGCGGUAAGUGCGGUGUGAAAUCCCACGGCUCAACCGUGGAAUUGCGCUGCAUACUGCCGUGCUGGAGGAAGACAGGGGUAAGCGGAACUGAUGGUGGAGCGGUGAAAUGCGUUGAUAUCAUCAGGAACACCGGUGGCGAAAGCGGCUUACUGGGUCUUUUCUGACGCUGAGGCACGAAAGCUAGGGUAGCGAACGGG